GGCGACGGUGGCUAAAUCGAUUCGCCGCAGCCUGUUUGCCGCGUUGGCCGGCUUUGCUGUUUUGCUGUGCCUGUGCUACACGGGCCUGUCGCUG
rnacentral:tRNA from 1 species